CUAACCCUAAAAAAAACUUUUUUCCUUCACCUCUAUUCUCUCUCUCUCGCCAUCUCUCCCAAAUGGAUUUAAAGUUUUUUUUUUCUUUUUUGUCGACGAACUCGAAGAGAUGCAGAGGAAAAGAAGAAGGAAAAGAAUUUCCAUUAUGCUAAGUGGUUUUGGAUUAUUCUCUGGUCAUCAGCACGAUUUUGAGAUGAUAAACUCAAUCUCAUAAAUCGUCAAUAACUCAACCUCAAAAAUCUGUCUGAUUCAUCUCUCCGAUCAAAUGUACUCAAACAGGGAAUCAUCAAAGGCGAUAUAGGAGAAUGAAGCAAGAGUACUUGGUAUAUCUUGAACCUCUGCUAAGGUUAACACAAAUAGUUGGUUUGAUAAUUUGAUUCGUACUAUAAGAGUUCACUUAUUGGAUGGUACUAUAAGCGGAGUGCUAUUGUUGGAGAUGGAAUGGGGACUAUGGUGGCAAGGUAUACACAACUGUUUUCAAUUGCAAACGAUUCAAAGUUUUAAUCUUUCUUACAAAAGCUUCCUGGCCCUUACUGUCACAAUGACGUAUACGAAAGAACCCGAGAGGCGAUAGUGGAAGAUCUUACUGGAAUUAGAAAAACAAUCAAACUUCUGGAAGAAUCAGGGGCUUUAGUUCGCAGAAUUGAUGAAGAGGUUCGCAGAUUAUCGCUUGUGCAGCUUUGUUCCCUUUCUUUAAAGAAAAGUGUGGAGAUGUUGCAGCUAUUGCGGUUUCAUCAGAUUGCCGUGGACAAGGACAGGGAGAUAAAUUGCUCGGUACAAUCAUGAAACUUUUGAGUAUUGUGUGUUUACAAUCUACAGUUAAAAGAAAAAUCAGUUUCUUAGACUAUCAAAUUUUUGCAUAUUACAUUGACUAAAAAAGCGUCAGCUCUUGGACUUGAGAUGCAUUUUCUGCUAACAACGAGAACAACUGACUGGUUUGUGAGACGCGGGUUUCAGGAAUGUUCAAUCUCGAUGAUACCAGAGGCAAGACAAGAAAGAAUCAAUCUUUCGAGGAGAUCAAAGUAUUACAUGAAGAAGUUAUUGCCAGACAGGAGUGGGAUCUCUGUUGUUCGUACAUUUCAGUUUGACUUCUGAGAAUGUCGAGAAGAAUGUAAUUGACAUAGAAUUUUUUUGCUCAAUGUAUAAGAUUAUAUCGAGUUUUGAAUGAAUCAACAUAAUUUCCAA